GGGAAGCCUCCCUCGAGAUAAGGUAUCUUUGAGCCGUGGAAGACCACCACGUUGAUAGGCCGGGUGUGGAAGCGCAGUAAUGCGUGAAGCUAACCGGUCCUAAUUGCUCAUUUCGCGCUUGA
rnacentral:rRNA from 1 species